CCCUUAGAUGUUCGGGGCCGCACGCGCGCUACACUGAAGGAAUCAGCACGUCUUUCUCCUUGUCCGAAAGGACUAGGUAACCCGCUGAACCUCCUUCGUGCUAGGGAUUGGGGCUUGUAAUUCUUCCCCAUGAACGAGGAAUUCCCAGUAAGCGCGAGUCAUAAGCUCGCGUUGAUUACGUCCCUGCCCUUUGUACACACCGCCCGUCGCUACUACCGAUUGGAUGGUUUAGUGAGAUCCUCGGAUUGGUCCCGGCGCGGCCUCUGGUCGUGCCGGAGUGCCGAAAAGAAUGUCGAACUUGAUCAUCUAGAGGAAGUAAAAGUCGUAACA
rnacentral:rRNA from 1 species